AUUGAACGCUGGCGGCAGGCCUAACACAUGCAAGUCGAGCGAGCGGCGGACGGGUGAGUAAUGUCUGGGAAACUUCCUGAUGGAGGGGGAUAACUACUGGAAAAGGUAGCUAAUACCGCAUACCAUCAGAUUUUCACAGUUGGGUUUGGCUGGUAGGGGGGGUAACGGCUCACCUAGGCGACGAUCCCUAGCUGGUCUGAGAGGCUGACCAGCCACACGGGAACUGAGACACGGCCCAACCUCCGACGGGAGGAAGCAGUGGGGAAUAUUGGACAAUGGGCGCAAGCCUGAUGCAGCCAUGCCGCGUGUGUGAAGAAGGCCUUCGGGGUGUAAAGCACUUUCAGCGGGGAGGCGUUACCCGCAGAAGAAGCACCGGCUAACUCCGUGCCAGCAGCCGCGGUAAUAC
rnacentral:rRNA from 1 species